UGAGUUUGAUCCUGGCUCAGGAAAGUCGUAACAAGGUAACCGUAAGUCGUAACAAGGUAACCGUAGAGUUUGAUCCUGGCUCAGGAAGUGAUUGAGAAAGUCGUAACAAGGUAUCCGUAAGUCGUAACAAGGUAGCCGUAGAGUUUGAUCAUGGCUCAGAACAAACGCUGGCGGCGUGCCUAAUACAUGCAAGUCGUAACAAGCCGUAAGUCGUAACAAGGUAACGUAGAGUUUGAUCCUGGCUCAGAAGUCGUAACAAGGUAACCGUUA
rnacentral:rRNA from 1 species